rnacentral:rRNA from 1 species
CGGAAAAAGAGGAGUGGCGAACGGGUGAGUAACACGUGGGUAACCUGCCCAUCAGAAGGGGAUAACACUUGGAAACAGGUGCUAAUACCGUAUAACAAUCAAAACCGCAUGGUUUUGAUUUGAAAGGCGCUUUCGGGUGUCGCUGAUGGAUGGACCCGCGGUGCAUUAGCUAGUUGGUGAGGUAACGGCUCACCAAGGCCACGAUGCAUAGCCGACCUGAGAGGGUGAUCGGCCACAUUGGGACUGAGACACGGCCCAAACUCCUACGGGAGGCAGCAGUAGGGAAUCUUCGGCAAUGGACGAAAGUCUGACCGAGCAACGCCGCGUGAGUGAAGAAGGUUUUCGGAUCGUAAAACUCUGUUGUUAGAGAAGAACAAGGAUGAGAGUAACUGUUCAUCCCUUGACGGUAUCUAACCAGAAAGCCACAGCUAACUACGUGCCAGCAGCCGCGGUAAUACGUAGGUGGCAAGCGUUGUCCGGAUUUAUUGGGCGUAAAGCGAGCGCAGGCGGUUUCUUAAGUCUGAUGUGAAAGCCCCCGGCUCAACCGGGGAGGGUCAUUGGAAACUGGGAGACUUGAGUGCAGAAGAGGAGAGUGGAAUUCCAUGUGUAGCGGUGAAAUGCGUAGAUAUAUGGAGGAACACCAGUGGCGAAGGCGGCU